CCUACGGGUGGCAGCAGUGGGGAAUAUUGGGCAAUGGGCGCAAGCCUGACGCAGCAACGCCGCGUGAAGGAAGAAGGCUUUCGGAUUGUAAACUUCUUUUAUCAGGGACGAAAGAAGUGACGGUACCUGAUUAAUAAGCCACGGCUAACUACGUGCCAGCAGCCGCGGUAAUACGUAGGGGGCAAGCGUUAUCCGGAAUUACUGGGUGUAAAGGGAGAGUAGGCGGGAAUGUAAGUCAGAUGUGAAACCCUUAGGCUGAACCUGUGGCUUGCAUAAGGAACUGUCCAGCUAGAGUACAGGAGAGGAAAUCGGAAUUCCUGGUGUAGCGGUGAAAUGCGUAGAUAUUAGGAAGAACACCAGUGGCGAAGGCGGAUUGCUGGACUGAAACUGACGCUGAGGCGCGAAAGCGUGGGGAGCGAACAGGAUUAGAUACCCCAGUAGUC
rnacentral:rRNA from 1 species